GAUGAACGCUAGCGGCAGGCCUAACACAUGCAAGUCGAACGCUCCGCAAGGGGAGUGGCGCACGGGUGAGUAACACGUGGGAACCUACCUUCUGGUACGGAACAACCAAGGGAAACUUUGGCUAAGACCGUAUACGACCUCCGGGUGAAAGAUUGAUCGCCGGAAGAGGGGCCCGCGUCCGAUUAGGUAGUUGGUGAGGUAACGGCUCACCAAGCCUUCGAUCGGUAGCUGGUCUGAGAGGAUGACCAGCCACACUGGGACUGAGACACGGCCCAGACUCCUACGGGAGGCAGCAGUGGGGAAUAUUGGACAAUGGGCGCAAGCCUGAUCCAGCCAUGCCGCGUGAGGGAUGACGGCCUUCGGUUGUUAACGUACUUCUAGCUCCGACGAACGACGAGAGUGACGGUAGGAGACGAGAAGAA
rnacentral:rRNA from 1 species